rnacentral:rRNA from 1 species
GGAGGGCGCGAGCGUUGUUCGGAAUUACUGGGCGUAAAGGGCAGGUAGGUGGUCUGUUAAGUCUUCUGUGAAAAUCCGGGGCUCAACCCCGCGAAAUGCAGGUGAAACUGGCAGACUUGAGACCGGUAGAGGCUAGCGGAAUUCCUGGUGUAGCGGUGGAAUGCGUAGAUAUCAGGAAGAACACCUGUGGCGAAGGCGGCUAGCUGGGCCGGUUCUGACACUGAACUGCGAAAGCGUGGGGAGCAAACAGGGAUUAGAUACCCUGGUAGUCCACGCCGUAAACGAUGGGCACUAGAUGCCCGGGCAUAUAGACGUGUUCGGUGUCGUCGCUAACGCAUUAAGUGCCCCCGCCUGGGGAUACGGUCGCAAGGCUG